AUGCUAGUAUUAAAACAGAACAUAUGUUUUUAAAUGAAAAAUUAGAAAAUUGCGUUGCUUAGCUUUACGAUCAUGCUGCUCAGUAUGUUUUAUUUUAUUAAGGUGAAUAUGUCCAUAAGGUGAAAGCCAAUUUUUCAGCCAGAAAAUGUCCUUGUCAAAAACAAAGCAAGAAAAAUGUCACAUGAUCUUCUCGAAACAUUUUCUCAAAUGACCUAACUAAAAUCCCAAAGUAUAAAAUAAAAAUUAAUUGAUUCAAUAUUUUAAAAAGAGGAAUGUUAUUUGAACAACUCUUUCUUGGGACAACUAAAAUUUACAAAGAAAUUUAGGUAGUGGCAUAAAAACCAACGCAAUGGAGAGAGAAAGUAAAAAGAGAAUGUGAGUUUGAGAGAAAAAGUUGUCACAAAAGUUGUCUAAAAUCGGUUGUUCAAAUAUCAUUUCUCUUUUAAAAAUUACCAAAUAGAAAAUUAGUGUCAUCUUAUUGAAACUCAUUACAAAGAUAAAAAAAAUUAAAUCAUUUAGCAAUAAAAAAUUCAAAAUCAUGCAGGUUGUCGUAUGUUCAAUGUCUAAUAAAAAUACCUUGUAGUGUGAUGUAACUAACAAGGAAUCUUGACUCAUUCAUUCAGGAUGUAUCAUCUGUAUACAUGUGCUUAAGUUAUGGGCUUAAUUUACCAACCAAAAUUAUUCUCCGCAGGUAUCAACUAUCAACUACCGAUUGAAUCAAGACAAAUGGCAACUACAAAAGAACAUAAAAUUGUGUGGGCAUAAAUUUUUCUUAUGAUCUUAAUUUUAUGUAAGAAUAUAUAAGAAAUUAUAAUGAAGUCAAAAUAUCCAUAAUUGAGAUUAGACACUACUACUUGUUAGAAAGAAGAAGAAAAAAAAUUAGACCCUACAAAGUUUAGUUAACAGUUACAAGUACUAUCAUGAAAU
rnacentral:lncRNA from 1 species